GAUGAAGAACGUAGCGAAAUGCAAUAAGUAAUGUGAAUUGCAGAAUUCAGUGAAUCAUCGAAUCUUUGAACGCACAUUGCGCCCCUUGGUAUUCCGGGGGGCAUGCCUGUUCGAGCGUCAUUACAACCCUCAAGCUCUGCUUGGUCUUGGGCGUCACCGGUCCCCGGUGUGCCUUAAAAUCAGUGGCGGCGCCAUCUGGCUCUAAGCGUAGUACAUACUCUCGCUACAGACGUCCGGUGGAUGCUGGCCAGCAACCCCCAAUUUAUCAAGGUUGACCUCGGAUCAGGUAGGGAUACCCGCUGAACUUAAGCAUAUCAAUAAGCGGAGGA
rnacentral:misc_RNA from 1 species